GCAUCUUUAGCUCAGUUGGGACGAGCAUUGGCCUUCUAAGCCAUGGACAUAGGUUCGAAUCCUAUAAGAUGUA